rnacentral:rRNA from 1 species
UACGAAGGGGGCUAGCGUUGCUCGGAAUGACUGGGCGUAAAGGGCGCGUAGGCGGUCCGCACAGUCGGGCGUGAAAUUCCCGGGCUCAACCCGGGGGCUGCGCUCGAUACAUGCGGGCUCGAGUUCGGAAGAGGGUCGUGGAAUUCCCAGUGUAGAGGUGAAAUUCGUAGAUAUUGGGAAGAACACCGGUGGCGAAGGCGGCGACCUGGUCCGAUACUGACGCUGAGGCGCGAAAGCGUGGGGAGCAAACAGG